rnacentral:rRNA from 1 species
UACGAAGGGGGCUAGCGUUGCUCGGAAUCACUGGGCGUAAAGCGCACGUAGGCGGAUUGUUAAGUCAGGGGUGAAAUCCUGGAGCUCAACUCCAGAACUGCCUUUGAUACUGGCGAUCUCGAGUCCGGGAGAGGUGAGUGGAACUGCGAGUGUAGAGGUGAAAUUCGUAGAUAUCGUAAGGAAGACCAGUGGCGAAGGCGGGUCUCUGGACAGUUCCCGACGCUGAGGCACGAAGGCCAGGGGAGCAAACGGG